rnacentral:rRNA from 1 species
GACGAACGCUGGCGGCGGGCUUAACACAUGCAAGUCGAACGGAAAGGCCCUGCUUUUGUGGGGUGCUCGAGUGGCGAACGGGUGAGUAACACGUGAGUCACCUGCCCUUGACUUUGGGAUAACUUCAGGAAACUGGGGCUAAUACCGGCUAGGAGCUCCUGCUGCAUGGUGGGGGUUGGAAAGUUUCGGUGGUUGUGGAUGGAUUCGGGGCUUAACAGCUGGUUGGGUGGGGAGCGGCAUACCAAGGGUUUGACAGGUAGUCCGCCUGGGAGGGUGAACAGGCACAUUGCGACUGAGGGACGGCGCAGAGUGCUACGGGAGGCAGUAGUGGAGAGUAUGGCACAGCGGGCGGGAGCCUGAGGCGGCAAUGUCGCGAGCGGGAAGCCCGCCUUCGGGGUGUAAACCGCUGUCGCCUGUGACGUAGCGUGAGUGACGGUAAUGAGUGAAGAAGCACCGGCUAACUACGUG